UACGUAGGUGGCAAGCGUUGUCCGGAAUUAUUGGGCGUAAAGCGCACGUAGGCGGCUUAGCAAGUCGGAAGUGAAAUCCCACGGCUCAACCAUGGAAGUGCUUUCGAAACUGCUGAGCUUGAGUACUUAAGAGGAUCGCGGAAUUCCCGGUGUAGAGGUGAAAUUCGUAGAUAUCGGGAGGAACACCAGUGGCGAAGGCGGCGAUCUGGGAAGAUACUGACGCUGAGGUGCGAAAGCGUGGGGAGCAAACAGG
rnacentral:rRNA from 1 species